AGUGAGAAUUCCUGGGAAGUUGUACCAGCUUUCUUCUCUUACUUCACCUGACAAAGACCCAACGCGGCCGCGCAGACCGGAGAUCACCAACUUCCCUGCCAUUUCCUGACGCCAAUUUUGAAGCCAGGGAGCUCAGAGGCAUUUUCUUCAACAGAAGAGUUCAGAGUUUCAGUGUCCACCUUUGAGCUACAAGUAGUCCCUCAGUGAUGCCCUCAAGCCAGGCCAGCUGCCCACUCUCUCUGCUGGUUUGCGUCUGAGUCCUCACAGUGCCCCGAGAGUUAGUACCCACCUGUGAACUGCUUAAAGACAGGGACACCGCGUCUCUUCUCUCCAUCUCCUUCGCCUACUACAGAGCUCAGCAUACAGGAGGUACAAAGCACAGAUCCACUGUUGGGCAACCAUGAUGGGCCAGCUGCCAAGGAGAUGGGAGAACCAGGGCCUGGAAAAGAGGAACAUCUGCGAAGCACAGCCUGAACCAUGAAGACUCCCCAGGCGUCAAGUCACCCAGGGGGCUGUGGACUGUGGGGGAGUAUUGUGGGGUGAGGAGCCUGGGGCUCAGACCAGCUUGCGGUGAGCAUCC
rnacentral:lncRNA from 1 species